UUUUUAAAAAUUAUUUUAUAAAGUUAUAGUAUAAUUUUUAAUUAUAAAGUUAAUGAUAAUCAUGUAGCAGAAACGUUUUCCUUGUUUUCACUGCGCAGGUAUAAUUUUGCCUGCACUCUGACUUCAUUAGGUUUGGACCCUAUACCUGCUGAGGAUUGGUAACAGUGUCCCUUUGGACGAAUGUGUUGGACCUCUAAGCGAUGAAUUAAAAAACAAAAAAUGACAACAACAAAAACUUUGGGAUACAAUUCCUUUUAAGUAGCUAGUGCUUUCAGAUCUUGUUAUUUGAAUUUCUGAUCAUACACUGUUCUUUAAAAUUCCACAGGGGACUUUACGGGUGUCUUCUUAUCUCGAGUAGGAUGCUGGCCACUGCCCAGGUCUACUCACGUGCACUGGGCUGAAGGGAUCGGUUUCCUCCACUUCCCAGAGUAUCCAUUAGGCACUCAACAAAUGCCAGUUGAACAGAAUAGAAAAGAUUCUUGGUCUAGAAGAACGUAGGGCAUCAGGUUGCUGCAGAGAGGAGAGCCCUAUGCUGACAGACUGCAUUCCAGCAGUUUCCAGGUUUUGGAGGCUGCGCUAUCCACACAUUGUUGAGAUGCUAAGGAGUUCCUAUGGGGAAAAGGUGGCUAGCAUUCAGAUCAUCUUUGAAGCUCAAGGACCCGAUGCCGACAGCCACCCAGCUUCAGUGCACCCUUUGUUUGCUGGUUAUUUCCCAUUUCACUUGGGAUAA
rnacentral:lncRNA from 1 species